rnacentral:rRNA from 1 species
AGCCUGAUCCAGCAAUGCCGCGUGAGUGAAGAAGGCCUUCGGGUUGUAAAGCUCUUUUGUCAGGGAAGAAACGGUGAAGCUAAUAUCUUUUGCUAAUGACGGUACCUGAAGAAUAAGCACCGGCUAACUACGUGCCAGCAGCCGCGGUAAUACGUAGGGUGCAAGCGUUAAUCGGAAUUAC